GACGAACGCUGGCGGCAGGCCUAACACAUGCAAGUCGAGCGCGCCCUUCGGGGUGAGCGGCGGACGGGUGAGUAACGCGUGGGAAUAUGCCCUUCACUGCGGAAUAGCCUUUGGAAACGAAGAGUAAUACCGCAUACGCCCUUCGGGGGAAAGAUUUAUCGGUGAAGGAUUAGCCCGCGUUGGAUUAGGUAGUUGGUGGGGUAAAAGCCUACCAAGCCGACGAUCCAUAGCUGGUUUGAGAGGAUGAUCAGCCACACUGGGACUGAGACACGGCCCAGACUCCUACGGGAGGCAGCAGUGGGGAAUCUUAGACAAUGGGGGAAACCCUGAUCUAGCCAUGCCGCGUGAGUGACGAAGGCCCUAGGGUCGUAAAGCUCUUUCAGCUGUGAAGAUAAUGACGGUAGCAGCAGAAGAAACCCCGGCUAACUCCGUG
rnacentral:rRNA from 1 species